CAGGAUUUUUUUUCUUGUAAAAUGAUAAAUUUUUUAAUGCAUGACGAUUCGAGUUGACAUCAAGUUAAUUGUGAUUUUUUUGCUUGAUUCGUUACAUUUUAAAUGUACCAAGUCCAUAAAUGAAAUGAAAAUUAAGAAGAAAUAUUGUUAUUAGUGUUGUAAUUGCAUGUUUCAGACGUCUUUGGUGAUAACGUUGUAAGUUCAACGCUUUCUUAUCAGCAAUUUCGUGGUUGAAAAAAAACAUGGGUUAUUCAACAGCUAUCGAGUCUUUCAUCAAAAUACCGCUCCUAAUCAUGCAGUUAAUUUCAUUCAUCUGCGUUAUCGUCCAUUUCUACAAAUUUUUUACGAGUAAAACGAAGCAAAGGUUGGCAACUAAAAACCUGACUUUUUACUGCGGUUGUUUGGCUCUCAAGUACUCGUGUGCAUUCUACUGUACGGCUUUGGCUUCCGAUUUUAGUAAAACUUCGAAUAAAUAUUGCAUCAGAGCGUUCGUCUUCAUUCAUCAAUUAGUUAUGACGAUGGCUUUAUUCAAGACCAUCAUGGCUUUGGAUAUUUACCUAUGUUUUCGCAAAAUUGCUCUGUUUUUGGAAACACAUUCGUCGGGCCCUCAGAAUGGGAAAUUCGUCGUCUAUUGUACCUGCAGUAUCGGCGUACCUUUAAUUUGGAGAAUUUUAUUGGAAUUUGUGUGCUCGGAUGGACGUGAUAUUGAUUUAAUCGUUCCUUGGACUGCCCUCGCUGUUCGUAUUGCUCGUGUGGGUCCGAUUUUAGGAGCGUUUUGGUAUCUAUGGUCGGCCAGUUUUGAUAAAAAUGUGCUAUUCGCCAAGUACUCUAUGCAUAUCCGGCUAAUCAUGAUGAUUGGAGGAGUAUCGGCUGUAUCGGAUGCUGCGCAGUUCGUUAACAUGAUUUUUUUUACCAGAUUGGCGGAUGUUGAUGGAUUAAACGCGUAUUUACAGAUACAUUUUAUCGCCGCUGCUUUGGAAGGGGUUAUUAUUGGAAUGUGUUUUACGUUUAAGGAUGAUACUUUUGGUGUUCCUUCUUCGCUUCCUACUACGGGUAAUAGUACCAGUGGUACUUCGAUGAAGCGUUGAAAUUUGAAAAAUUACCACUUUGGUGUUACAAUAUUGAUGAAUUUAGUUUGUUGUUUUAUUUAUUUACUGAUUGGUGUACUGAUUUAUUAUUUUUGUAAUUUUUAUGCAAUUAUAGUAAUAAAUUGUAAAAUAGAUUUAUAAA